GCCCCAGUAGCUCAGCUGGAUAGAGCAGUGGCUUCCUAAGCCAUGUGUCGGGGGUUCGAAUCCCUCCUGGGGUA
rnacentral:tRNA from 1 species